CUCAGAUCUAUUGACAGUUCACUCUCUCUGGUAAUAAAUAAAUGCCUCAUCCUGCAGCAUGGAUCCCCUUUAGAGGGUAGUAAGGCUCUCUCAGGUGAGCAAGGGCCAGAAACACAGCCCUGCCCAUCUGUACUGCAGAUACUGUGACAGCACAAGUGCAGUGGAACAUGUAUGACACUGUUGCUGUCUGAGCCUGCAGAUCUCCAGGCUGUCAAGAAAGUUGUUUGGUUUGCUUUUUGUGCUAGUGCCUGCAUGUAAAACAUCAAGGAGCUGUUCUACACAGCUGCCCAGAAGUCUGGCCUUGUUUCUGCUGCUUCCUAACAGUGCUUCAGCUGAACUCAACAUCUGUCUGCCUGGGAGAAGGAAGGCUGCAAGCUACAGGUUAGCUGUGCAUACCUCCAGGGAUGCUAAAACUCCUGAGCAUCUCCAGCAGCAUCCUGGUGCACCAGGAUGAAGUAACAAUGCUGAGAUAAUGCUUGAGGGGCUUAUGACAGAUAUGCCAGGCAGGAGAGGAAAACAGGGAGUGAAAGAAGGCUCUUCUGAGGCUGGAAGGUGUUAUGAAGCUGCCUAAGAAGAUACUGCAUUAUGGUUGUCUUGCUCUGUGUGUGUUGGCUUGACAAGCUGGGCAUGUGGAGCAUUCUGUUGUGACUUUUAAGCUUUAAAAAAGCCAUUUUCCAUUUUAAGUUAGAAACCCUUUAAACAGCUUGCUUGUAGCAGAGAAGGAAAUCUGGGUAUAAGCUCAUGAGCAUAAAAUAAGCUUUGAGAUGGGCAGCCUGGGAGGAGGGUUUUCAUGCCAGUUGCUGCAGUGUUGGAAGACUGGGCCAGAUCAGGGAGCCAGUUCUCCAAAGUCGCCCUCUCGGUGGGGACUCUGGCCAGCACAGCCGUGCAAGAUGCAGCCUCACAGUGACAAUAUGCUCCACAGAAACAGCUCUGUUUGCUGGCUCCUUGAGUGUUUGGUGAGCAGGGAAUCAAAUGCUGGUCUCUUGUCUGCUAAAUCCAAGUUAAGAUCUUGGGAAUUAUCUUGCCUUUGUGCAACCACAUAAACAGCAACUGCUGCAGGUUAUGUUACUGGAAGUUUAAAUUGAGUGGUUUUUUUCCCCUCCUGCUUUUUCUUGAUAGUAGAUGCUUUCCCACUCCUUAUUUACAUAGAAUGAAAUGGUCUGGAUACCUGGAUAGCCCAUCUAUUCAGAGUACUAGUCUCUACUUCUAACCUGG
rnacentral:lncRNA from 1 species